AUGGGCCGCCGCCGCCGCCAACCAUCCUCGCCGUCGCCGGCGGCCGAGCAUCCGCUGGAAGACGACGACCUACUGCGCGAGAUCCUCCUCCGUCUACCCCCACAGCCGCCCUACCUCCUGCGCGCCUCCCUCGUCGCCAAGCGCUGGCAACACAUCGCCACCGAACCCAAGUUUCUCCGCCGCUUCCGCAUCCACCACCGGAAGCCUCCCCUCCUUGGGGACUUCUCGUAUGAGUACGGAAGACUCUCGUUCAGAUCCACCCUGGACCUGCCCUACCGCAUCCCUCCCGGCCACUUCUCCCUACAACUACAAGUCCACGGCCGCGAUCCAUGGAGGUUGGUCGACUGCCGCCACGGAAGCGUGCUCCUCCUCAACAGGGAGAGGCGUCAGGUCAUUGUGUGGGACCCCGUGACUGGCGACCGCUCCCUCUUGUCGGUUCCGACGGAGUUUGAAGACAUGCAUACCGCGGCGGUGCUCUGCGCUGCCGGCGAGCAGGGCCACGCGCAUGGUGCCUGCCACUCGAGCCCUUUCAAAGUGGUCGUGGUGGACAGCUACGAGCAUGAUAAUGAAGCCGUCGCCUUCACAAGUGUUUACUGCUCAGAGACUGGCGUAUGGAGUGAUCUCCUCUCAACACCGCUUCCAUAUAGGGGUAUUACUGUUGUUAAUGCCGGCACACUUGUUGGUAACACCCUUCACUGGUUGCUUAAGAUGCAUAGCGGCAUAUCAAGAUGGGAAUGGGUCGACCCGGCCCUGGCCUUGGACCCGGCCCUGGUGGCCUCAGGGCCAACUUAA
rnacentral:rRNA from 1 species